GAUUGUAUACACAAGAACUGGUCCUCCCUCCUUGGCACAACCCGUCGCUGUUUCUCCCCAGGAACAGUGAGAUCAGCAAUCACGACGGCCGGACAUCUUGAAUCUGAACCAGCUCACCUCAGCUCUGAUAUGGAGUAGUAAUUAGCUACCACAAUCAUAGUUCAAUCGGGUUUUGAUUUUUGGUGGUUGAAGAAGGAGAAUUAUAUUUGCGAUUCGAUUAGAUGGAAACAAAAGAUGUGGAUAUCGACCACUUGGAGAGAGGUUUGUUAUCGUCACAAAACGGAUCGCCAAACCAAGCCGAAGCCGAAGACGAGACGGUUCUUUACACGGCGUCCUUCGGAGAGACAGAGGAGAAUUUCGUCAAGUACCAAACGUCCCGGUGGGUGCUUUGCUCGCUGCUCUUGAUUUUGGCUUGGGGGAUUGGUUUCUUCAUGUUGCUCUAUGUACCUGUUCGGAGGUAUAUUCUUCGCCAAGACAUCCGCUCCAGGAAGCUCUAUGUCACCCCCAAUGCUGUUGUCUACAAAUUGGUAAGGCCAGUUCCGUUUCCGUGUUUUGGUGUAUUGAAGAAAGAGAAGCACAUCCCAUUACCUUCAGUUGCUGAUGUUGUGAUAGAACAAGGAUACCUGCAGUCCCUUUUCGGUGUAUACUCAGUCAGGUUUGAGAAUGUUGGUGUAAGAAGGUCUCCAAGUGAUGACGUUCGUAUCGAAGGAGUUGCAAAUCCUCGUGCUUUUAGGAAGGCUGUUACAACGCAACUUUCAAAUAUGAGAAGUGAAGCUUUCUCUAGGCAAGGUUCCACUAUUGAAGAUGUUCCGAAUUUGAGGAUUGGCCCUUCAGCUGCAGCGUGGAUGUCUCCAUCAAAAUCUUUCAGGAAUGAUUCUUUUUCUCAAUCAGGAGAGCUAAUACUUUUGCAAAAACUAGAGGAGGUUGGCUCUUCCGUAAAGAGAGUACAAAGCUUAAUCGAGGAGCAACACACUCAAACAUCACAAUCUUCACAUUGAAAUAAGUGGACCUCAAAAGAACAAGCAUCCUGUAAUUACCUAUUUUCCUGGAUUGAAGUAAGGUAUAAUGGGAGAAAAGCAUUUGUUCAGCAUCAUUGGUGAGCCAACAAAUUUGGAUCUUCUGCAUGACUGCCCUGAAGCAAGAAGUUUGAGCAUGCAUAGGUUCUUCUUUGAGUUCAAGGUUCGGCAAUUGUUCUGGUUCCUGUGUAUUUAGAAUGAAGAUUGCUGGUACACUCGUCCGCUAACAGAGGUUAAUUAGUUAGCUCUGUUCCAUACUUCCAUGUUUCAUAGACCCAACAUGUCAUGUAUUAGCCUAUGUGUGAUUUUCUACUUUUGAGGCCUCUCUGUUUGUUUUGCCCCCUUCUCUUCUCUCUCUCUCUCUCUCUCUCUCUCUCUCUCUCGUAUAGCUCUCCACCAAUCAGUGCCAUUGAGUUGCUGUUGUUUUUAUUCUUGUUGGGUUUUUGUAAUGAUUUCUGUGGUAAUUAUCGCAAUAUGUAGUUGCAUUUCUGGAAA